CCCCAGGUGGCUCAGUCGGUUGAGCGUCUGACUUCAGCUCAGGUCAUGAUCUCACAGUUCGUGGGUUCGAGCCCGCCUCAGGCU
rnacentral:tRNA from 1 species